rnacentral:rRNA from 1 species
UACAGAGGUCUCAAGCGUUGUUCGGAUUCAUUGGGCGUAAAGGGUGCGUAGGCGGCGCGGUAAGUCGGAUGUGAAAUCUUGGAGCUUAACUCCGAAACUGCAUUCGAUACUGCCGUGCUUGAGGACUGGAGAGGAGACUGGAAUUUACGGUGUAGCGGUGAAAUGCGUAGAUAUCGUAGGGAAGACCAGUGGCGAAGGCGGGUCUCUGGACAGUUCCUGACACUGAGACACGAAGGCCAGGGGAGCAAACGGG